AGUGAAGCGGCAACAGCUCAAAUUUGAAAUCUGGCCUCUUGGGGGUCCGAGUUGUAAUUUGUAGAGGAUGUUUCGGGUACCGCCUCGGUUUAAAUUUCUUGGAACAGAAUGUCAGAGAGGGUGAGAAUCCCGUCUUGGACCGGCGGUAGGGCCCAUGUGAAACUCCUUCGACGAGUCGAGUUGUUUGGGAAUGCAGCUCAAAAUGGGUGGUAAAUUUCAUCUAAAGCUAAAUAUUGGCCAGAGACCGAUAGCGCACAAGUAGAGUGAUCGAAAGAUGAAAAGAACUUUGAAAAGAGAGUUAAACAGUAUGUGAAAUUGUUGAAAGGGAAGCGCUUGCAACCAGACUUGAGCGCGGCGGUUCCCCCUUCCUUUUGGUUGGGUUACUCCGCCGUGUCCAGGCCAACAUCGGUUCUGGGGGUCGGUUAAAGGCCCGGGGAAUGUAUCUACUCCUGCCGGGGGUAGACUUAUAGCCCCGGGUGUCAUGCGACCACCCGGGACCGCAGGCAACGCG
rnacentral:rRNA from 1 species